rnacentral:rRNA from 1 species
CUACGGGAGGCAGCAGUGAGGAAUAUUGCGCAAUGGACGAAAGUCUGACGCAGCAACGCCGCGUGAGCGAAGAAGGCCUUCGGGUCGUAAAGCUCUUUUCUGGGGGAAGAGGAAGGACGGUACCUCAGGAAUAAGUCUCGGCUAACUACGUGCCAGCAGCCGCGGUAAAACGUAGGAGGCGAGCGUUAUCCGGAUUUAUUGGGCGUAAAGCGCGUGCAGGUGGUUUCGUAAGUCGGAUGUGAAAGCCUGUGGCUCAACUAGAGGAUGUCGUUCGAAACUGCGGGACUUGAGGUCGGGAGAGGAAAGCGGAAUUCCCGGUGUAGUGGUGGAAUGCGUAGAUAUCGGGAGGAACACCAGUGGCGAAGGCGGCUUUCUGGCCCGCACCUGACACUAAGACGCGAAAGCGUGGGGAGCGAACGGGAUUAGAUACCCGAGUAGUC